CGCCUCCUGCCCACAACAAUAUAGGAGGUCCCGCCUGCCCUGUGACCAAAAGUUUAACGGCCGCGGUAUUUUAACCGUGCAAAGGUAGCGCAAUCAAUUGUCUUUUAAAUGGAGACCUGUAUGAAUGGCAUAACGAGGGUUUAACUGUCUCUUUUUUCCAGUCAAUGAAACUGAUCUGCCCGUGCAGAAGCGGGCAUAUAAACACAAGACGAGAAGACCCUAUGGAGCUUUAGACGCCCACCAACUAUGAAAAGCAGCCGUCAACUAGGCCCCAAACAACAUAGUCCUGGCACAAACGUCUUCGGUUGGGGCGACCACGGGGGAUAACAAAGCCCCCGAGAAGACAGGGGACAUACCCUGAAACCAAGAGUUACAACUCUAAGUCACAAAACAUUUGACCGAUUAAUGAUCCGGCCCACGCCGAUCAACGGACCAAGUUACCCUAGGGAUAACAGCGCAAUCCCCUCCCAGAGUCCAUAUCGACGAGGGGGUUUACGACCUCGAUGUUGGAUCAGGACAUCCUAAUGGUGCAGCCGCUAUUAAGGGUUCGUUUGUUCAACGAUUAAAGUCCU
rnacentral:rRNA from 1 species